AAAUCUAGAAUUUCUACAGUAGGGGGAAAAAAGGACUGGAAUUGGAGGAGGAAAACCAGAAUUUGAUUUUCAGGACAUGUGUAUUCCUUCCACAUUAUUCUUUUGUGCUGGCUGCAGUUGAGAGUCAACAUGAGUGAACUUUUAUCUUCUUCUCCUCAAUCUUGCAAGGUGAAUCAGUUCCAUUGUCCUAAGAGAUCAUAUUUUUCAGUGCAUAUUUUCUUCACCCUUAAACCCUUAUAUCACAGGCUGUGGACGGACUAGACUGAGAUGUCUUCAAGCUCAUUAAUAUUGAUCUUCAGUUGGCAACAAUGAUCACUCUGGCUAAGUUUAAAAUAUUCUCUUCUGCUUCCCAAGAGACUGGUCUUGUUCAUUCCAGAAUGCUCUACUACAAAAUCAAAGACAAUAAACCUUCAAUCCAAUCUAAAUCUCAGGAAUGGAAGAAUGGAACAUUCCCUUGCUAGUCAAGUUUAGAAUAAAAAUGGAAAGAAUGACUUUCAUGAGAAUAGAAUAAUAAGAUAUCUUCAGUUUCAAACUCAACAAUUUAAUUUGUGUCCCAGAUCCUUCACCUAUAAUGAAAGUGUAUUAAAAAGUCAGCAAUUAUUACUGAAGAGAAAGCUAUAGUUCAGAUGAAGCACUUUUUUGAAAGCUUCAUAAAAAUAACUAAGGAAAUGUCAGAUUAGUGAAGGCAAACCCAUUAUGUACCAAAAUAUUCCAUUCACUUUUGUAUGGGUUUAAUUGUUAAGAAAUUAUUUAUAUCUAGUCUAAAUCUG